GUGAUGGAUAAUCACAUCCAUA
rnacentral:siRNA from 1 species